rnacentral:rRNA from 1 species
UACGUAGGGCGCAAGCGUUGUCCGGAAUUAUUGGGCGUAAAGAGCUCGUAGGCGGUUUGUCGCGUCUGCUGUGAAAACCUAAGGCUCAACCUUGGGCUUGUAGUGGGUACGGGCAGACUAGAGUGCGGUAGGGGUGACUGGAAUUCCUGGUGUAGCGGUGAAAUGCGCAGAUAUCAGGAGGAACACCGAUGGCGAAGGCAGGUCUCUGGGCCACUACUGACGCUGAGAAGCGAAAGCAUGGGGAGCGAACAGG